rnacentral:rRNA from 1 species
UACAGAGAGUGCAAACGUUGUUCGGAAUUACUGGGCUUAAAGCGCGCGUAGGCUGCAUCGUAAGUGUCUGGUGAAAUCCCACGGCUCACCCGUGGAACUGCCAGGCAUACUGCGGUGCUAGAGUGUGGUAGGGGAGAGCGGAACUCCUGGUGGAGCGGUGAAAUGCGUAGAUAUCAGGAGGAACACCGGUGGCGAAGGCGGCUCUCUGGUCCACAACUGACGCUGAGGUGCGAAAGCUAGGGGAGCAAACGGGAUUAGAUACCCGGGUAGU